rnacentral:snRNA from 1 species
GUUCAUUCCUGAACAUAUACUAAAAUUGGGACAAUAAAGGCAAUAUUGGUAUGAAUCCAGCGCUAGGAUGACAAGCAAAUUCGUUAAGCGUUUCAAACCAUC